rnacentral:rRNA from 1 species
GCCAGACUCCUACGGGAGGCAGCAGUGGGGAAUAUUGCACAAUGGGGGAAACCCUGAUGCAGCGACGCCGCGUGAGCGAAGAAGUAUUUCGGUAUGUAAAGCUCUAUCAGCAGGGAAGAAAAAAAUGACGGUACCUGAGUAAGAAGCACCGGCUAAAUACGUGCCAGCAGCCGCGGUAAUACGUAUGGUGCAAGCGUUAUCCGGAUUUACUGGGUGUAAAGGGAGCGUAGGCGGCGCGUUAAGUCUGAUGUGAAAACCCGAGGCUCAACCACGGGAGUGCAUUGGAAACUGGCGGGCUGGAGUGCCGGAGAGGUAAGCGGAAUUCCUAGUGUAGCGGUGAAAUGCGUAGAUAUUAGGAGGAACACCAGUGGCGAAGGCGGCCUGCUGGACGAUGACUGACGCUGAGGCUCGAAAGCGUGGGGAGCAAACAGGAUUAGAUACCCCAGUAAA